UAAGGUGGAGAAAACGAGACAAAGAUGGAAAUGAACUAUAUGAGAGGUCAAGAUCAACAAGACAUUAAUUACCUAAAAAUUUCUGGAAGAGGUGUUUGUGGUGGGCAAUGGUCAGCAGCCAAGGAGACCUCUCACAGAUCCAGCAGCAAACUGGAUGAGGAGGGAUUGGAGCUAGCGGUGUACAGACAUGAGAUGCUACUUUGUGCCCUGAACAUGCACAGGGGUGAGAAAUUUGCAUACCCCUUGUACUUGCAGCAAAGGCUGGCCAACAGACGGAUCACAUUUGUUUGCAUGGAUGUAACAUGCAAGUACUGGCCAUAUCUUGAGAAAGUAUCAAAAAGCUGUCCUGAGCUCCAACACCUGCUUCAAAUGAAGCCAUUCCUCAGUUUCCCAUGCCAAAGCCCAUGACUUCAAAUGUGAGGCUAAGUGGAGUGGAGCAUAUCAAGAUGGUGCUGGUUUGACUCUAGGGGAAGAAGUUGAGCAGUGCAAUGCAUUUCUCUCAAGGAUCGCUGUUACGACAAAACAUAUGUCAAAAGCUGGACGGACAGACAUGUUGACUCUUAUGGCCAUACGCUGGAAUCAGCAAAAACUUGACAAGUUGGCCACUUCACUAACCCAUCGAUAUCAGAAGGCCACAAAAGCUCUUCAAAAGCAACAUCAGAAAUCGGGAGUCCUUAAAAAUUGAGCUUGUGGUGACUGACAGUCAACUUGAAGACUGGGUCCGUGAUAUUAAGGAAUGGGCAGAAGCAACAACUAGCACAACUGAUCCGGACUCCUUGGCAGGCAGAAUUGAGGUUCUGGCUGCGAGCAUCAAAAGGCGACCUCAGGGUCUUUACAAAGACACAGACGGAAACAGACGAGCCAAGGAUUGUGCAAAAUAAGAAAGGAGAAAAACAUCUUAGCAUUGGCUUUAGAAGACUACAGCAAGACUUACAGGCACAGAAGCACUGUCUUUGAAAGAGAUCCUGUCCUGCGACACAACAUUACCAUGGAAGCAAUCACACGGUGCUAAAUAAACAUACACUAAUACAUAUUACACUGCCAUCAGACCUGACAGAUAAUGUGGAUAGAUACUCCAGGUGUUGACCUAGACUUAAUGACCAAUUAAAACUGAGUUAAUUUGUGUUUUUCAUUAAUCCUUUUCAA